rnacentral:rRNA from 1 species
GACGUAGGGCGCGAGCGUUGUCCGGAUUUAUUGGGCGUAAAGAGCUCGUAGGCGGUCUGUCGCGUCUGCUGUGAAAACUCAGGGCUUAACCCUGAGCUUGCAGUGGGUACGGGCAGACUAGAGUGCGGUAGGGGAGACUGGAAUUCCUGGUGUAGCGGUGAAAUGCGCAGAUAUCAGGAGGAACACCGGUGGCGAAGGCGGCAUCCUGGACCGGCAAUUGACGCUGGAGGAGCGAAAGCUAGGGGAGCAAACGGGA